GUCUCCGUAGCUCAGUGGAUAGAGCACUGGUUUCCGGUACCAAAGGUCGCAGGUUCGAAUCCUGUCGGGGACAC
rnacentral:tRNA from 1 species